GACGAACGCUGGCGGCGUGCUUAACACAUGCAAGUCGAACGGUAAGGCCCUUCGGGGUACACGAGUGGCGAACGGGUGAGUAACACGUGGGUGAUCUGCCCUGCACUUCGGGAUAAGCCUGGGAAACUGGGUCUAAUACCGGAUAGGACCCUGGGAUGCAUGUCCUGGGGUGGAAAGCUUUUGCGGUGUGGGAUGGGCCCGCGGCCUAUCAGCUUGUUGGUGGGGUGAUGGCCUACCAAGGCGACGACGGGUAGCCGGCCUGAGAGGGUGACCGGGCACACUGGGACUGAGAUACGGCCCAGACUCCUACGGGAGGCAGCAGUGGGGAAUAUUGCACAAUGGGCGCAAGCCUGAUGCAGCGACGCCGCGUGAGGGAUGACGGCCUUCGGGUUGUAAACCUCUUUCAGCACCGACGAAGCGCAGGUGACGGUAGGUGCAGAAGAAGGACCGGCCAACUACGUGCCAGCCGCCGCGGUAA
rnacentral:rRNA from 1 species